rnacentral:tRNA from 1 species
GGUCCGGUAGCUCAGUUGGUAGAGCGCUCGCCUGAAAAGCGAGAGGUCGCCGGUUCGAUUCCGGCCUGGACCACCA